rnacentral:rRNA from 1 species
AUACGGAGGGUCCAAGCGUUAUCCGGAAUCAUUGGGUUUAAAGGGUCCGCAGGCGGUCAAUUAAGUCAGAGGUGAAAGCCCAUCGCUCAACGAUGGAACUGCCUUUGAUACUGGUUGACUUGAGUUAUACGGAAGUAGAUAGGAUAAGUAGUGUAGCGGUGAAAUGCAUAGAUAUUACUUAGAAUACCGAUUGCGAAGGCAGUCUACUACGUAUAUACUGACGCUGAGGGACGAAAGCGUGGGGAGCGAACAGGAUUAGAAACCCUAGUAGUCC